UACUUGGUUGAUCCUGCCAAGGAAGCACACUUAGGUCAUAGAUUAAGCCAUGCAAGUGUUAGUUCAGGUAACGAAACUGCGAAUAGCUCAUUAAUACGCUCAGAAUCUAUUU
rnacentral:ncRNA from 1 species